UACGUAGGGGGCAAGCGUUGUCCGGAUUUAUUGGGCGUAAAGAGCGUGUAGGCGGCCUGACAGGUCUGCUGUGAAAACUCGAGGCUCAACCUCGAGAUGUCGGCGGAAACCGUCUGGCUAGAGUCCGGAAGAGGAGAGUGGAAUUCCUGGUGUAGCGGUGGAAUGCGCAGAUAUCAGGAGGAACACCAAUAGCGAAGGCAGCUCGCUGGAACGGUACUGACGCUAAGGCGCGAAAAGCGUGGGGAGCCGAACAGG
rnacentral:rRNA from 1 species